AUUGGACAUGGGCGAAGCCUGAUCCAGCCAUGCCGCGUGUGUGAAGAAGGUCUUCGGAUUGUAAAGCACUUUAAGUUGGGAGGAAGGGCAGUAAGUUAAUACCUUGCUGUUUUGACGUUACCAACAGAAUAAGCACCGGCUAACUUCGUGCCAGCAGCCGCGGUAAU
rnacentral:rRNA from 1 species